ACAAUGAUACCUCAGUCCCUUCAAAGUAGGCAGCAUGGGACCUCACACAAGUUCUCCCAAUCGCUAUUGUCUGCCCCAUUGUAUUUUCCUGAAUCUCAUUAUGGCCUGAAAUAUCUUCCCUUUCAAAGGUGAUUUUAAUUUUGGGAAAAGCCAGAAGGUGUAGGGCUCCCA